AGCUUUGAACCGGUAUGGGCGCUGUGCGCGGGGCGCCUUGGAUCAGUCUACAACUUUGGGGACACUGGGGACCAGCAAAGGGUCCCGGCCCCCUGGGGCCUUGCCGGUAACAGUAGGUCUGGUGCCUGUGGGCCAUGGAAGAGCCUGGGCCCCCUGGUGGGCUUAGCCAGGACCAAGUGGAGCGAUGCAUGAGUGCCAUGCAAGAGGGGACCCAGAUGGUGAAGCUCCGUGGAAGCUCCAAGGGAUUGGUCCGCUUCUACUACCUGGAUGAGCACCGCUCCUGCCUCCGAUGGCGUCCCUCUCGCAAGAAUGAGAAAGCCAAGAUAUCCAUCGACUCCAUCCAGGAGGUGAGUGAGGGCCGGCAGUCUGAAAUCUUCCAGCGCUAUCCGGACAGCAGCUUCGACCCCAACUGCUGCUUCAGCAUCUACCACGGCAGCCACCGAGAGUCGCUGGACUUGGUCUCACCCAGCGGUGAAGAGGCACGUACCUGGGUCACCGGCCUUCGCUACCUCAUGGCUGGCAUCAGCGAUGAAGACAGCCUAGCCCGUCGCCAGCGAACCAGGGACCAGUGGCUGAAGCAGACGUUCGAUGAGGCUGACAAGAACGGGGAUGGCAGCCUGAGCAUCAGUGAAGUUCUGCAGCUGCUACAUAAACUCAACGUGAACCUGCCCCGGCAGAGGGUGAAACAGAUGUUCAGGGAGGCAGACACAGAUGACCAUCAGGGGACAUUAGGCUUUGAGGAAUUCUGCGCCUUCUACAAGAUGAUGUCCACCCGCCGAGACCUCUACCUGCUCAUGCUGACCUACAGCAACCAUAAGGACCACUUGGAUGCCUCCGACCUACAGCGCUUUCUGGAGGUGGAGCAGAAGAUGAACGGUGUGACCCUGGAGAGCUGUCAGAACAUCAUCGAGCAGUUUGAGCCUUGCCUGGAAAAUAAGAGCAAGGGGGUGCUGGGGAUUGACGGCUUUACCAACUACACCCGGAGCCCUGCCGGUGACAUCUUCAACCCUGAGCACCACCGAGUGCACCAAGACAUGACGCAGCCGCUGAGUCACUACUUCAUCACCUCCUCCCACAACACCUACCUCGUGGGUGACCAGCUCAUGUCCCAGUCUCGGGUGGACAUGUAUGCCUGGGUCCUGCAGGCCGGCUGCCGCUGUGUGGAGGUGGACUGCUGGGACGGGCCCGAUGGAGAACCCAUCGUCCACCACGGCUACACCCUGACCUCCAAGAUCCUUUUCAAAGACGUCAUCGAAACCAUCAACAAACACGCCUUCAUCAAGAACGAGUACCCAGUGAUCCUGUCCAUUGAGAACCACUGUAGUGUUGUUCAGCAGAAGAAGAUGGCCCAGUAUCUGACUGACAUACUUGGGGACAAGCUGGACCUCUCCUCAGUGAGCAGCGAAGAUGCCACCAUGCUUCCUUCUCCACAGAUGCUUAAGGGCAAGAUCCUGGUGAAGGGUAAGAAGCUCCCUGCCAAUAUCAGUGAGGAUGCGGAAGAAGGCGAAGUAUCUGAUGAGGACAGUGCUGAUGAGAUGGAGGAUGACUGCAAGCUCCUCAAUGGGGAUGCCUCCACCAACCGGAAGCGUGUGGAAAACAUUGCAAAGAAGAAGCUUGAUUCUCUGAUCAAGGAGUCAAAGAUCCGUGACUGUGAAGACCCCAAUGACUUCUCUGUGUCCACACUGUCCCCCUCUGGAAAGCUUGGGCACAAAGCAGAGGCCAAGAAGGGUCAGAGCAAGGUUGAGGAAGACGUGGAGUCCGGGGAGGACACAGGGGUGAGCAGGCGGAACAGCCGUCUCCUCAUGAGCAGCUUCUCCAAGCGCAAGAAAAAAGGCAGCAAGAUAAAGAAGGUGGCCAGCGUGGAAGAGGGGGACGAGACCCUGGACUCCCCAGGAAGCCAGAGCCGAGGGACUGCCCGGCAAAAGAAGACCAUGAAGCUGUCACGAGCCCUCUCGGACCUAGUGAAAUAUACCAAGUCUGUGGGGACCCAUGACGUGGAGAUGGAGGUGGUAUCUAGCUGGCAGGUGUCGUCCUUCAGCGAGACCAAGGCCCAUCAGAUCCUGCAGCAGAAGCCUACCCAGUACCUGCGCUUCAACCAGCACCAGCUCUCACGCAUAUAUCCCUCCUCCUACCGCGUGGACUCCAGCAACUACAAUCCACAGCCCUUCUGGAACGCUGGUUGCCAGAUGGUUGCCCUGAACUACCAAUCAGAGGGACGGAUGCUACAGCUGAACAGGGCCAAGUUCAGUGCCAACGGUGGCUGUGGCUACGUGCUCAAACCCCAGUGCAUGUGCCAGGGUGUCUUCAACCCCAACUCGGAGGAUCCCCUGCCGGGGCAGCUCAAGAAGCAGCUGGCCCUGAGGAUCAUCAGUGGCCAGCAGCUGCCCAAGCCACGGGACUCGGUGCUGGGCGACCGUGGGGAGAUCAUCGACCCCUUCGUGGAGGUAGAGGUCAUCGGGCUCCCCGUGGACUGCAGCAAGGAGCAGACCCGAGUGGUGGAUGACAACGGAUUCAACCCCAUGUGGGAGGAGACACUGGUGUUCACUGUGCACAUGCCGGAGAUUGCGCUCGUACGCUUCCUCGUCUGGGACCAUGACCCCAUUGGACGUGACUUCAUCGGCCAGAGGACAUUAGCCUUCAGCAGUAUAAUGCCAGGCUACCGGCAUGUGUACCUAGAAGGGAUGGAAGAGGCCUCUAUCUUUGUUCAUGUGGCUGUCAGUGACAUUAGUGGUAAGGUCAAGCAGACUCUGGGUCUAAAAGGUCUCUUCCUUCGAGGCCCAAAGCCAGGCUCGCUGGACAGUCAUGCUGCUGGACAGCCCCUCCCCCGGCCCUCCGUUAGCCAGAGGCUCCUGCGGCGCACGGCCAGUGCCCCGACCAAAAGCCAGAAGCCAAGUCGCAAGGGCUUCCCAGAGCUGGCGCUGGGCACGCAGGACGCAGGCUCCGAGGGGGCAGCUGACGACGUGGCACCCCCUAGCCCCAACCCAGCUCUGGAGGCCCCUACUCAAGAGAGGUCAGGCAGCAGCAGUCCCCGAGGUAAGGCACCAGGAGGAGAAGCAACAGAAGAGAGGACACUGGCACAGGUGCGGUCCCCAAAUGUCCCCGAAGGCCCCGGACCUGCAGGGAUGGCUGCCACAUGCAUGAAGUGUGUGGUGGGCUCCUGCGCCGGUAUGGACGUUGAGGGCCUUCGAAGGGAGCAGCAACCCAGCCCCGGGCCUGCAGGCAGCCACAUGGCCAUCAGCCAGCAGCCCAGGGCCCGGGUAGAUUCACUGGGGGGCCCUUGCUGCAGCCCUCGAGCCACCCCAGGGAGAAGCAAAGAGGCCCCCAAGGGUCCUAGGGCUCGGCGGCAGGGUCCAGGCGGCGGCUCUGUGUCCUCGGACUCCAGCAGCCCAGACAGCCCAAGCAGCCCCAAGGUGGCCCCCUGCCAGCCGGAGGGUGCUCACAGGCAGCAGGGGGCGCUGCAGGGAGAGAUGAACGCCUUGUUCGUUCAAAAGCUGGAGGAGAUCAGGAGUCACUCCCCCAUGUUCUCCACGGGUAAGGCCUGCCAUUCCGCUGCAUCCCAUGCUCUCUACACCUGGCAUGCCUAGGCGGUCCGUGCCUGCCUGCCGCUCUCUGCUUCAUUUGUCUGUCAGCUUAACUGUGGCCUGUCUGCCUCAGAUCCCCACCCCCACCCUAAUGGCCCUGAACUUUGGGGCGGGGAGAUGGGGGAAGAGGGCUGCUCCAGUUGUCAAGGCAUUUCUGAGAGCUGCUCGCUGAGGAGCCCAGUGAUAUCCAGCCAGCCCUCAGCAAGGGCUUCCCUGGUGCCUUGCUGGCUGCCCUGACUGGCUGCUCUGAUGGUCUGCCUUCCUAGGUCUGAAAAGAUCCCAGCUCUUAGCCCUGCCUCCCUCCACCCCCACCCACAAGGGUCAGAUGCAAGAAUGACUCUGCCCUGAGGUCCUACGGGAGCCUGCUGUCAAUUGGUGGUGGCACUGUAGGGCAUCCCCCUUGGAGGCUCCUCAGAGACCAGGGGAGAAGGUGCCAGAACUGAGGUCUGGUCCUCAGGGCACCCAGUGCUUAGGGGGAGCAGCUCCCAGGGACCGACCGACCACCCACCAUCCUGGCUGACACUUCCUGACCCAUACCUUGUCUGCCCGGAACUGGUCUGAGCUGGUUACUGAGCUCUAGUCUGGGCGGAGGGAGGCACUUGGAGUCUGCCUGCUUCCAUUGUACUGCUCCCGCUCCUGCCCAGCAUCGUUGUCCAUCUGUCCAUCUGCCAGUGACCCCACCCCCACACUGACCGUGUUCUCCUUUCUGUCCCUGCUCCGUGCUGCUUCCAUAGUUAGGGAUUGAGACCUGCGAGUGCCAGAUACUCGCCUCUUCCCCCUGCAGCGGCCCAUCUCCCCCCUGUGCAGCCUGGAACCCAUUGCUGAGGAACCAGCCCUGGGCCCUGGCCUCCCGUUACAGGCAGCUGCCCCUACAGGUCCAUCUCAGGAAGGGCCCCAGUGCCCUGUAGGGCUGGGAGCCAAAGUGACCAGCCCCCAGCAGACAUCUCUGGGAGCAUUUGGAACCCUCCAGCUCAGGAUUGGGGGCAGUAGGGAAAACGAAGAGCCACCCCUCAGGCCACACAAUGGUGGGACCUCCAGCGGGCCACGUGAGGGGACUUCUGGAAGACAGACAGACAGCAAGAGCCGCUCCCGGGCCCCGGGCCACUUGCCAGUGGUUAGGAGGGCCAAGAGCGAGGGCCAGGUGCUCUCGGAGCUCUCUCCAGCGCCUGCAGUGUACUCGGACGCCACAGGCACUGACAGGCUAUGGCAGCGGCUGGAGCCUGGGAGUCACAGGGACAGUGUCUCCUCAUCCUCCAGCAUGUCCUCCAACGACACUGUCAUAGACCUAUCGCUGCCCAGCCUCGGCCUCUGCCGCAGCCGAGAGAGCAUUCCAGGGGUCUCUCUUGGACGCCUAACCUCACGGCCCUGCUUAGCCUCAGCUGCCCGUCCUGACCUGCCUCCUGUGACCAAGAGCAAAUCGAACCCCAACCUGCGGGUUGCGGGUGGGCUGCCUCCUGCACCCGACGAGCUACAGCCCCGACCUCUUGCCCCGCGGCUGACCAGCCACCACCCACGGCCACCCUGGCAUCACCUCACCCUGGUGGGCCUGCGGGACUGCCCAGUGUCUGCUAAGUCCAAGAGUCUGGGAGACCUGACAGCUGACGACUUUGCUCCCAGCUUUCAGGGCAGCACCAGCAGCCUAAGCUGCGGCCUGGGCCCCCUGGGUGUGGCGCAUCAGGUGCUGGAGCCGGGAAUACGGAAAGAUGCUCUCACGGAGCAGCUGCGCUGGCUCACCGGCUUCCAGCAGGCUGGUGACAUCAUGUCGCCGACCAGCUUGGGCCCAGCUGGGGAUGGGUCUGUAGGGGGACCCGGCUUCCUCAGGCGCUCCUCCUCUCGGAGCCAGAGCCGCGUGCGCGCUAUUGCCAGCCGAGCCCGCCAAGCUCAGGAGCGCCAGCAGAGGCUGAGAGGCCUGGACUCACGGGGUCCCCCAGAGGAGGAGCGGGGCACCCCUGAGGGUGCCUGCUCUGUAGGCCAUGAGGGCUGUGUGGAUGUGCCAAUGCCUGCCAAGGGAGCCCCUGAGCAGGUGUGUGGUGCUGCUGAUAGCCAGCUGCUGCUCAGGCUCUGACCCAACCUGAUGAUUCCAACUCCAUACCUUCCCGAGACUGCCUGCAGGGGGCGGCUGGCCACAACCCGACCUUUGCUCAGGAAAUGAAGCCACUGGGUCCCCAAAGCUGUUAAGCCCCACUCUUCUGUCUGUGGAGGACCCAGUAGCCUCCCCUUCAACCUUAGCUGUCCUCUUGUCUCUGAUCUUGGGAAGCAAGAAACAGCAUUGUCCACCUGUCCUUCUGGGCGGUUUCCACGUUUUAAGAUACAUAGAUAUUUAACUUUUUAGAACCAAAACUUACAGUCAAGUGGCUCUGCGUCCUUCCCCACUGGUCGGCCUGGUGUCUGGCCCUGUGGUGUGUGCUCAGUGUUUUUUUUCUACCUGCAGUGUGUUUGUAUCCCGGAAUGCCUGUGACACACCCAUAACUGCUAGGAUGUUUGUCCUUGACCCUUAUUCCACUGUGCACCCAACUUGUUUCGAACAAACCACCCAGCAAUUGUGUAAACUUGGGAACACAACACCAAUAAAGGCAUCAGGCCUG